AUUGUAGAUGUAUCCACUGGGGCUGAACACCCCACGGUCUGUUGUUCUCUGUAUUUUGACCAGUUGCGGUUUUCUGUUGCUGCCAAGAGAGGCUUCUUCAGUGAAAGAUGAGACCUACACUCAUCUGCGGGUAGAAGGACACAGAUUGUAGUGGGCAUCACCUACUGAGCAGCCCUGCAUUCCUUCUUUAGUAGGAUUGAAAGCAGAGUUACAGAAACCAAGUUGGGAACACCCCUUGAUCAUGUAUGUAAACACGUUGUGUUGCCCAAGUGUAUCUUGGCAUGGGCAACUUCAGAUUCAAAAAUUCCAAGACGUACGGAUGAAGAUGAGCUCUUGUAAAGGACCCAUGGCAGCUGACAGCAAGCCAUCUUCAUGCCCACUCAGUCAUGCUGAAGUGAAGGCCACUGAUGGACCAGAAGAGCAGCAUGUCAGAGUGAGGAAAUAGUCACAGUGCAGAUGCCCUGCACAGGGCCUGUGGCCCCAAGCAGGUCAUAGGAAGAGGGAACCAGGGACUUGUGACUGCUUUAUCGCACUGUUGUCAGUAAGACCCACCAUGCUAAGAAAGAAAGAGGAAGAAAAGAAAGAAGAAAAAGGGAAAAGAAAGAAAAAAAGAAGAAAUAGAAGAAUACCACACCAUGAAGCUUGAGAACUACUUAGAUGUUCUCUUGUUUGGAGAGUUCACACAUAAAGCCUACCUUACCUUAGGGUGGGUUUUGCCUAAAUGGUGACAUAUAAAAAACAAAACAAAAACAACAACAGCAACAAACACCCUAAUUGAUAUUCAUGAGGAUCAUGACCCUUAUUAUGAAAUACAGAUAGAGCAAAUCCUUGUUACAGCAUUGUUAUACAUUUAACAUAUUUUCUUUCUCUUCACACACUCACAAUUAUAUUAUAUACUUUAUAAUAUAAGUAUUAUAAAAAAGUAAAAACUGAUUAGCUAAUGUUGUAAACAUGCUAUGUACCAAAUAUUUUCCCAAGUGUUUCCCAGUAUUUACCCCUUAAUUCUCAAAAAAUCCCCAGGAGA